rnacentral:lncRNA from 1 species
CGCCACAACCUCCACCUCCCGGGCUCACCCAAUCCUCCCAGCUGGAACUACCGCACACACCACCACACCCAGCUAAUUUUUGUAUUUUUGGUAGAGACAGGGUUUCACUAUGUUGCCCAGGCUGGACUCAAGCUACCCACCUACCUCAGCCUCCCAAAGUGCUAGAAUUACAGGCAUGAGCCACCAUGCCUGGCCACCAGUAUUUUGCCAGGCUGGAGUGCAGUGGCACAAUCUCGGCUCACUGCAACCUCCGCCUCCCGAGUUCAAGCAAUUCUUCUGCCUCAGCCUCCCUGAGUAGCUGGGACUACAGGCACGCACCACCACACCCAGCUGAUUUUUGUAUUUGUAGUAGAGAUGAGGUUUCAGCAUGUUGGCCAGAUUGUUCUCAAUCUCUUGACCUUGUGAUCCACCCUCCUCAGCCUGUUGGGAUUACAGGCACGAGCCACUGAGCCCGGCCCAGUCUUUUUCUUAAAAAAUCUGCUCACAAUUCCAAUUAUUUGCGCAAUGCUGUACUAAGUACAAGAGAAAGGUGUUUCCUCUCAGCCAGGACAGAAGGUAGGAAUCUUCCUGUAACUGCAGUCCUUUCUAUGGCCACUAAAACAAAUUACCACAAACUGAGGGGCGUGAGAUAACACAUGUUUAUGAUCUUAUCAUUCUGGAGGUUAGAAGUCCUAAAGUCAAGGUAUCAGAGCCGUGCUCCUUCCAGAAUCCCUGAGGGAGGAACCCCUCUGCUGUCCUGUCAACUUCUGGAGGCUGUCUGUGUUCCUUGGCACAUGCCCUUCCUCCAUCUCCAAAUCUCUCCUGACCUCUGCUUCUACCACAUCUUCGUCUUGGACCCUUCUGCCUCCCUCUCAUAAAGACCCUUGGGUCUACACUGGACCCACCUUGGUAACCCAGGCUAAUCUCCCCACAUCAAGAUCCGUAAUCACUUCUGCAAAGUCCCUCUUGUGAAGGAAAGCAAAUUCACAGGCUCUGCAGAUUCUAAUGCAGACCUCUUGGGGGAGGGGCAUUAUUCUGUCGACGGCAAUAACCGGAGCCAUUUCUUUCUUUCUUUCUUUCUUUUUCUUUUUUUUUUUUUUGAGACAAAGUCUCACUCUAUUGCCAGGCUCCAGUGCUGUGGUGUGAUCUUGGCUCACUGCAACCUCCACCCCCUGGGUUCAAGCAAUUCUCCUGCCUCAGCCUCCUGAGUAGCUGAGACUACAGAUGGACGCCACCACACCUGGUUUUUUUUUGUUUUGUUUUGUUUUGUUUUUUUGUUUUUGAGACAGAGUCUCACUCUGUCUCUGUCACCCAGGCUGGAAUGCAGUGGCCUGAUCUCAGCUCACUGCAAGCUCUGCCUCCCAGGUUCACACCAUUCUCCUGCCUCAGCCCUCCCGAGUAGCUGGGACUACAGGCGACCGCCACCAUGCCCGGCCAGUUAUUUUUUCGUAUUUUUAGUAGAGAUAGGGUUUCACCGUGUUAGCCAGGAUAGUCUUGAACUCCUGGUUUCAAGUGAUCUGCCUGCCUUGGCCUCCCAAAAUGCUGGGAUUACAGGUAUGAGCCACAGGAAAAAAAAAUCACUUUCCCAAUCUGCAAAAUGGCUACUGUCCUCAAUUUCCCCAAACUAAUCCCUCUCAAUGAUGACCUCAAAUCUCUCACCCUCCAAAGAGAUAACAGAUGCCCUCAGGAAGGCCUUAGUUUCCCCAACAUGCUUGGGUCUAAACCCACACACUCUGCCUUUCCUUCUGUUACAAGAGAAGAGGUGUGCUGUUUCCCCCUCCACACCCCCACCUGAUUCCUGGAUCCACCCGUGCUUGGUCUUCCCACACAUUUUGUUCUUGCAAUUCUUCCUGUUCUUCAACUGUUCUCUCUCUGAGAUUAUUGUCAUUACAUAAAAACAUGCUUUAAUAUCUCUCUCGGCUUUUGAAAUUCUUUAAAAAGGAGUUAAGUUGUGCAAUGUGAGUUCAUUGACCACAAUGGAUUUAAGUUAGAAAUCAAUCGCAAGAUAGCCGGAAAAAUCCCCAAGUAAGUUGGAAACUUAAAAAAUACACUUCUAGCCAGGGGCAGUGGCUCACGCCUGUAAUCCCAGCAUUUUGGAAGGCCAAGGCAGGCAGAGUGCUUGAGGUCAGGACUUCGAGACCAGCCUGGUCAACAUGGUGAAACCCCAUCUCUACUAAAAAUACAAAAAUUAGCUGGGCUUGGUGGCGGGUGCAUCCCAGUUACUCAGGAGGCUGAGGCACAAGAAUCGCUUAAAUCCAGGAGGUGGAGGCUGCAGUGAACUGAGAUGGCACCACUACAUUCCAGCCUCAGUGAUAGAGCAAGACUCUGUCUCAAAAAAUAAAUAAAUAAGAAUAAAAAUAAAAAUAGGCGGCCG